GCCGUACUUCUAGCCUGCUUACCAGGUCUACCCCACCAUCAUUAAGUAGACCAGAACAAAUUUCAUUACUAAACCAAAACAUUUUUCCGC
rnacentral:rRNA from 1 species